CACCGUCUCGAGUCGCUCCUGGAGAGUUUCCAGUCCUCUACCAGUCUCGACUACGGGAGGGAGAGCCAAGCAGAGGCCUACCCAUUCCAUUCCUAGCUUGGGCAGUGGCUAGUGAGUGGACGGCCAUCUGCUACAAGU